AUUGAACGCUGGCGGCAGGCCUAACACAUGCAAGUCGAGCGGAUGAAAGGGGCUUGCUCCUGGAUUCAGCGGCGGACGGGUGAGUAAUGCGCAGGAAUCUACCUAGUAGUGGGGGAUAACGUUUCGAAAGGAACGCUAAUACCGCAUACGUUCUGAGGAAGAAAGCAGGGGAUCGUAAGACCUUGCGCUAUUAGAUGAGCUUGCGUCCGAUUAGCUAGUUGGUGGGGUAAAGGCCUACCAAGGCGACGAUCGGUAACUGGUCUGAGAGGAUGAUCAGUCACACUGGAACUGAGACACGGUCCAGACUCCUACGGGAGGCAGCAGUGGGGAAUUUUGGACAAUGGGCGCAAGCCUGAUCCAGCCAUGCCGCGUGAGUGAAGAAGGCCUCGGUUG
rnacentral:rRNA from 1 species